GAUGAACGCUGGCGGCGUGCCUAAUACAUGCAAGUCGAGCGAACAGACGCGGAGCUUGCUCCUCUGACGUUUGCGGCGGACGGGUGUGUAACACGUGGAUAACCUACCUAUCAUACUGGGAUCACUUCGGGACACCGGCGCUAAUACCGGAUAAUCUAUUGAACCGCAUGGUUCAAUAGUGAAAGACGGUUUUGCUGUCACUUAUAGAUGGAUCCGCGCCGCAUUAGCUAGUUGGUAAGGUAACGGCUUACCAAGGCAACGAUGCGUAGCCGACCGGAGAGGGUGAUCGGCGACACUGGAACUGAGACACGGUCAAGACUCCUACGGGAGGCAGCAGUAGGGAAUCGUACGCAAUGGGCGAAAGCUUGACGGAGCAACGCCGCGUGAGUGAUGAAGGUGUUCGGAUCGUAAAACUCUGUUAUUAGGGAAGAACAAAUGUGUAAGGAAAUAUGCACGUAGUGACGGUACCUAAUCAGAAAGCCACGGCUAACUACGUG
rnacentral:rRNA from 1 species